rnacentral:rRNA from 1 species
AGUGGCGGACGGGUGAGGAAUACAUCGGAAUCUACUCUGUCGUGGGGGAUAACGUAGGGAAACUUACGCUAAUACCGCAUACGACCUACGGGUGAAAGCAGGGGAUUUUCGGACUUUGCGCGAUUGAAUGAGCCGAUGUCGGAUUAGCUAGUUGGCGGGGUAGAGGCCCACCAAGGCGACGAUCCGUAGCUGGUCUGAGAGGAUGAUCAGCCACACUGGGACUGAGACACGGUCCAGACUCCUACGGGAGGCAGCAGUGGGGAAUAUUGGACAAUGGGCGCAAGCCUGAUCCAGCCAUACCGCGUGGGUGAAGAAGGCCUUCGGGUUGUAAAGCCCUUUUGUUGGGAAAGAAAUCCAGCUGGCUAAUACCCGGUUGGGAUGACGGUACCCAAAGAAUAAGCACCGGCUAACUUCGUGCCAGCAGCCGCGGUAAUACGAAGGGUGCAAGCGUUACUCGGAAUUACUGGGCGUAAAGCGUGCGUAGGUGGUCGUUUAAGUCUGUUGUGAAAGCCCUGGGCUCAACCUGGGAACUGCAGUGGAUACUGGGCGACUAGAGUGUGGUAGAGGGUAGCGGAAUUCCUGGUGUAGCAGUGAAAUGCGUAGAGAUCAGGAGGAACAUCCAUGGCGAAGGCAGCUACCUGGACCAACACUGACACUGAGGCACGAAAGCGUGGGGAGCAAACAGGAUUAGGUACCCUGGUAGUCCACGCCCUAAACGAUGCGAACUG